UUCAAAAUGAUCGAUCAGGGUUCCAUGCCCCAUCUGGGGCUGGAUGAAAAGGGAACAUGGUGAGGUGUUUCGACGAACGACCAAGACCAUGACUGCCCCCGCAACUGUAAGCGAGUAGUGCGCUUCAGCAUGCCACUGGCACCGUGCCGGGAAGGCGAAGCCAUAACAACCGCGAGUCAGGAGACCUGCCCUGAUCGGCCGCGCCAC
rnacentral:ncRNA from 2 species